GAGGGUAUAGCUCAAGUGGUAGAGUACAUGCUUAGCAUGCACAAGAUCCUGGGUUCAGUCCCCAGUACCUCCU
rnacentral:tRNA from 1 species